rnacentral:tRNA from 1 species
GCCUGGGUGGCUCAGUUGGUUGAGCAUCUGACUUCAGCUCGGGUCAUAGUCUCGUGGUUCGUGAGUUCAAGCCCCAUAUCUGGCU